rnacentral:lncRNA from 1 species
GAUUUACGAUUGUUCACAAGAGCGCCGUUUUUUCUCCUGUUGGAUAUUAGGAUCUUCACGUUUGGUCCGUUGCUGGCCUGCUUUGUAGGUUGAGCUAUCAGUCGCAAGGGCGGCCAUUUUAUCACCUUAAAAUUUUUAAAGCAAAUUUGAAACAAGUUCAUGCUGCGGCGUUGAUGGAUCAUAAGAGUUAAGUACAUGAAAAAGAAACUUACCCCUAUUCCUGUUGUGGGCUGCUUGGAAUAGACGGGUGCCUGGGCAACGAGGUAGAGGUGGCUUCGACGGAGCCGUGAUGGGUAGGUGUCGACAUCUCGACGUGCCAGCC